rnacentral:tRNA from 1 species
CAGAUUAACAUAGCUUAAUUAUUUCAUUUACAUUGAAGUAUGUUCUGUGCAAAUCAGGAUAAUCUGA